GGGGUUGUGGCUCAGAGGUAAAGUGCUCACCCAGCAUGCGAGUGGCACUGGGUUCAAUCCUCAGCUCCA
rnacentral:tRNA from 1 species